CAAGUCGCACGGAACCCGCAAGGGUUUAGUGGCGCAAGGGUGAGUAAUGUAUCGCUAACGUACCCUGGACACUGGGAUAGCUGCCCGAAAGGGCAGGUGAUACCAGAUGAAAUAUCCGGCCCGCAUGGGUUGGAUCUCAAAGGAGCAAUCCGGUCUGGGCGCGGGCGAUAUCGUAUCAGCUAGUUGGUGAGGUAACGGCUCACCAAGGCGACGACGCGUAGCCGGACUGAGAGGUCGGUCGGCCACAUCGGGACUGAGACACUGCCCGGACUCCUACGGGGGGCUGCAGUAACGAAUCUUCCCCAAUGGGCGCAAGCCUGAGGGAGCGACGCCGCGUGGAGGAUGAAGUCCUUCGGGAUGUAAACUCCUGUCAGGGGUUACCAAGUUCUGAGGAGCCCCAAAGGAAGAGGCGGCUAACUCUGUGCCAGCAGCCGCGGUAAGACAGAGGCCUCAAGCGUUAGGCGGAAUCACUGGGCUUAAAGCGUGUGUAGGCGGAUCGUUAAGUGCCUUGUGAAAUCCCACGGCUUAACUGUGGAACGGCUGGGCAUACUGGCGGUCUUGAGCCAUCUAGGGGCGACUGGAACAAACGGUGGAGCGGUGAAAUGCGUAGAUAUCGUUUGGAACGCCAAUGGUGAAAACAGGUCGCUGGGGAUGCGCUGACGCUGAGACACGAAAGCCAGGGAAGCAAACGGGAUUAGAUACCCCGGUAGUCCUGGCCCUAAACGAUGUCCACUAGAUCAUGGUUCCUCUGACGGAUUCAUGGUCGAAGCAAAAGUGCUAAGUGGACCGCCUGGGAAGUACGGUCGCAAGGCUAAAACUCAAAGGAAUUGACGGGGGCUCACACAAGCGGUGGAGCAUGUGGUUCAAUUCGAAGCA
rnacentral:rRNA from 1 species